rnacentral:rRNA from 1 species
AAACGACUCUCGGCAACGGAUAUCUCGGCUCUCGCAUCGAUGAAGAACGUAGCGAAAUGCGAUACUUGGUGUGAAUUGCAGAAUCCCGUGAAUCAUCGAGUCUUUGAACGCAAGUUGCGCCCGACGCCAUUCGGCCGAGGGCACGUCUGCCUGGGUGUCACG